UGUAUACAUAAAUGCUCCAUGAUGGGACUAUGGAAAAAUGCACACAUGACUGAUGCUUUGCCCAGAAAGAAAGUCAACAUAUUAAAAAUAAAUCUUCAGUCCAUGUUUCGAGCUGCAUAAAACAGGAAGUGAUGUACAAGGUGGUGGUUGCUGCAUGGGGACAACGAUGCUCUGAUGUGACAAUUAGGCUUCAGAUACACUGCCUUUCCGUUUCCAUGCUUCCUCCUACCAGUCUCCUUAAGACACUGCCUGCAACAGCUGAUUAAUCAUUGUUGAUGACUGCAGUUUUUCCCAUCCUUCCCGAUUUACAUCUGUUCAGGCCAAUUCAAAUAUGGUGAGUAAAUGAAUUAGACAUGCAAAUUCACGCCCCGGGCUAGAAAGAGAGAGAGAGAGACGGAGAGAAAGGGAGAGAAAGGGAAGAAAGGGGGAGAGAGAGGAGGAGGAGAGAGAGAGAGUGUGCAUGGCUGAAAUCCUAGGAUAGAAGAAAGAUUCUUCUGCCUGACAUAGUUAUUUUAAUGCUCUAAAAAUCCUGCAAAUAAGCCCUUUCUGUCAUUUGCAGGAUGAGUGUAAGGCUUCUUUUCAAUGUAAGGAGGCUUCUGGAGGAAGUGAAGAGCUAUGGAAACAACACACAUAGUGUGGAAAAAUUUCACAUUUUUUUUUAAAAAAUCUAUAAGAAACAACGUAAUAUGGAUAACAGUAUAAUAGCAUUUUACAAUAUUUCACUCUUUGUUCUCUUAAUGUCUUAUAUAGGUAUUUAGCAUGUCCCCAGAAGUUGACUUCAGUCGGUGUUUUCCUGCUUGUCAGGGUCCCUGUGACGAAUAGGAACGUCCCUUGGUCCAAAGUCGACGCCAAGAAUGGAACUCCAUAGUCAUUGCAGAAAGACAAUGUUUGAAAUCUGCCAUCUCUGCGGACAGCGCGCAUUCGUUCCCUUAAGCUACUGAGCAUGAAUGUCCAUCACUUGUCCGCUCGCCGCCGGCUCGCCGGGAUGAAGCAUUGUGGGGCUGGAUGCUGACAUGGGCAUUCCGGGGUGGGGUGGUCCUCCAUGCAUCAUCAUCGCUGGGUGGUGAGGGUGUCCAGGAAUGUAGGUAUGCAUGGGGGGGCCGUGACGCAGCUGAGCGGGAUGGGGGGGCAUCUGGGGCGGGGUAUAGCUUGGCUGUCCCAUGUUCAUACCCAUUGGACUACCCCGAGACACAUAAUCCCCUGGCACACUUUGCAGCCUUCCCCCUGGCUUUGCCAUUGGGUACCUAGGUGAAGGUUACAUGUAGUGCCACUGCCCCUCCAUGCCCAUAUUCAUGCCCAUUCCACUCAUAGGUCCUGGCGCUCGGAUGCCCAUGUGCUGCUGGCCAUCCAUCACGAAGCCUCCCAUUGGCUGCCCGUCGGGGUUGUAGGGCGUCC
rnacentral:lncRNA from 1 species